GCCUUCAUAGUGUAGUGGUCAGCACGCUCGACGCCUAACCGAGAGGUCUGCGGUUCGAUUCCCAGCGAGGGCA
rnacentral:tRNA from 1 species